rnacentral:lncRNA from 1 species
GUACAAAACAGAAGCAUUCAAAUAUUUUGUUUCAUUUGGGCAUGGGGUAUUAAAUAAUAAUAUGAACAUGGUCUCUCACUGCAGGUUAUCUAACAAUAACUGACAGUUGUAGGGUAAGGGCUUCAUGCUGGGUAUGCUUUUGAAUAUUUUACAGGAUUAAUUAAUUUAAUUCCCACAAUAUCCUACUGCAGUUCUAGACUGUUGGUGAUACUACUGAUAACCCCCAUUUUACAGUUGUGAAAGCAGACGCAUAGGGAGGUUAAAAAACCUGCUCCAGAUGAAGUAUUCAGUUGAGGGAGCCAGAACAGGAACGCAGAAGGCUGGCCCUAGCAGCCACACUGCUAUGAUCUUCUUCCUCUCUGUAGGACAGGAGAUAGAAAAGAUUUGUUUCUUUUGGAAAAAGAACUAAAAUCUCAAUGAAGGAAACCUAUGAGCGAUUAAUGAAUGUAUAUGAUAACAGCUGAUCUUAAAUGAGCAAUUGUUGCUGUUCAAAAUGGUUUAUUUCAUUUGAAUUUUCACAACUCAACAAGAAAGUGUUGUUAUCAUCCCCUUGUUACACAUACAAAAAAACUGACAUAUACAAUGUUAAAGGAGCAUGCCUAAGCCACACAGAAAGGGUGGGAACCUUAACAGCCUGGCUCCAGGGGCUGCUUCCCAUGAAGGACUGAAGGAAUGUUGUAAUAAAAUGUCAUUUAUUUAAUCAGCUUUAAUUGAUGAGAUACUCAAUAGAGUUCACACUAAAUAAAAUUUAAUCAGAGAAACAUUUAUACUUAGCUAUUUCUGAGCUGGGAAGUCUCUCUGAUUUGAUAUAUAGACUGCCUUCAUUUUUUAUGGAGCUGACAUCAAGCUGAUUUUAGAAAGAACUGGCUUUUCUCCAAGGUCUUCCUGGUCAGUGUGACCUGGCACAUUUCUUAGUUUAAAUCAGUAAAUCUCAAAGAAGGGGCAGGGCUGGCAGUGAUCCUCCCCAGGGUAGUGUCAACAUCUGGAGGAGGGGAGAGGGAGGCUUGUUUCAAAAACAAAGCAAUACUAGAGGGUUGAUUUUGAACCUGAGGUAGGACUUGUUCUUCCAUCUCCCUUAGAUAGGAAAAAAAAAAA